UACGUAGGUGGCAAGCGUUGUCCGGAAUUACUGGGUGUAAAGGGAGCGUAGGCGGGGAUGCAAGUUGAAUGUUAAAUCUAUGGGCUCAACCCAUAUUCGCGUUCAAAACUGCAUUUCUUGAGUGAAGUAGAGGUAGGCGGAAUUCCUAGUGUAGCGGUGAAAUGCGUAAAUAUUAGGAGGAACACCAGUGGCGAAGGCGGCCUACUGGGCUUUAACUGACGCUGAGGCUCGAAAGCGUGGGUAGCAAACA
rnacentral:rRNA from 1 species